CCUACGGGGGGCAGCAGUGAGGAAUAUUGGUCAAUGGACGAGAGUCUGAACCAGCCAAGUAGCGUGAAGGAUGACUGCCCUAUGGGUUGUAAACUUCUUUUAUAUGGGAAUAAAAUGUUCCACGUGUGGGAUUUUGUAUGUACCAUAUGAAUAAGGAUCGGCUAACUCCGUGCCAGCAGCCGCGGUAAUACGGAGGAUCCGAGCGUUAUCCGGAUUUAUUGGGUUUAAAGGGAGCGUAGGUGGAUUGUUAAGUCAGUUGUGAAAGUGUGCGGCUCAACCGUAAAAUUGCAGUUGAAACUGGCAGUCUUGAGUACAGUAGAGGUGGGCGGAAUUCGUGGUGUAGCGGUGAAAUGCUUAGAUAUCACGAAGAACUCCGAUUGCGAAGGCAGUUCACUGGACUGCAACUGACACUGAGGCUCGAAAGUGUGGGUAUCAAACAGGAUUAGAUACCCUAGUAGUC
rnacentral:rRNA from 1 species